rnacentral:rRNA from 1 species
CCUACGGGAGGCUGCAGUGAGGAAUAUUGGUCAAUGGACGAGAGUCUGAACCAGCCAAGUAGCGUGAAGGAUGACUGCCCUAUGGGUUGUAAACUUCUUUUAUAUGGGAAUAAAAUGUUCCACGUGUGGGAUUUUGUAUGUACCAUAUGAAUAAGGAUCGGCUAACUCCGUGCCAGCAGCCGCGGUAAUACGGAGGAUCCGAGCGUUAUCCGGAUUUAUUGGGUUUAAAGGGAGCGUAGGUGGUUUGUUAAGUCAGUUGUGAAAGUUUGCGGUUCAACCGUAAAAUUGCAGUUGAAACUGGCAGUCUUGAGUACAGUAGAGGUGGGCGGAAUGCGUGGUGUAGCGGUGAAAUGCUUAGAUAUCACGAAGAACUCCGAUUGCGAAGGCAGUUCACUGGACUGCAACUGACACUGAGGCUCGAAAGUGUGGGUAUCAAACAGGAUUAGAGACCCGUGUAGUC